AUACGGAGGGUGCAAGCGUUAAUCGGAAUUACUGGGCGUAAAGCGCGCGUAGGCGGCUGAUUAAGUCGGAUGUGAAAUCCCUGGGCUCAACCUAGGAACUGCAUCCGAUACUGGUCAGCUAGAGUUUUGGAGAGGUAAGUGGAAUUUCCGGUGUAGCGGUGAAAUGCAUAGAGAUCGGAAGGAACACCAGUGGCGAAGGCGACUUACUGGCCAAAAACUGACGCUGAGGUGCGAAAGCGUGGGUAGCGAACAGGAUUAGAGACCCUAGUAGUCC
rnacentral:rRNA from 1 species